rnacentral:rRNA from 1 species
UACGAAGGGGACUAGCGUUGUUCGGAAUCACUGGGCGUAAAGCGCACGUAGGCGGAUUUGUAAGUCGGGGGUGAAAUCCUGGAGCUCAACUCCAGAACUGCCUUCGAUACUGGCGAUCUCGAGUCCGGAAGAGGUGAGUGGAACUCCUAGUGUAGAGGUGGAAUUCGUAGAUAUUAGGAAGAACACCAGUGGCGAAGGCGACUCACUGGUCCGGUACUGACGCUGAGGUGCGAAAGCGUGGGGAGCAAACAGG